UACGUAGGGUGCAAGCGUUAAUCGGAAUUACUGGGCGUAAAGCGUGCGCAGGCGGUUCGCUAAGACCGAUGUGAAAUCCCCGGGCUCAACCUGGGAAUUGCGUUGGAGACUGCAAGGCUGGAGUCUGGCAGAGGGGGGUAGAAUUCCACGUGUAGCAGUGAAAUGCGUAGAGAUGUGGAGGAACACCGAUGGCGAAGGCAGCCCCCUGGGUCAAGACUGACGCUCAUGCACGAAAGCGUGGGGAGCAAACAGG
rnacentral:rRNA from 1 species